GAUGAACGCUGGCGGCGUGCCUAAUACAUGCAAGUCGAGCGAACAGACGAGGAGCUUGCUCCUCUGACGUUAGCGGCGGACGGGUGAGUAACACGUGGAUAACCUACCUAUAAGACUGGGCUAACUUCGGGAAACCGGAGCUACUACCGGUUAAUAUGUUGAAUCGCAUGGUUCAACAGUGAAAGACGGUCUUGCUGUCACUUAUAGCUGGAUCCGCGCCGCAUUAGCUAGUUGGUAAGGUAACGGCUUACCAAGGCAACGAUGCGUAGCCGACCUGAGAGGGUGAUCGGCCACACUGGAACUGAGACACGGUCCAGACUCCUACGGGAGGCAGCAGUAGGGAAUCUUCCGCAAUGGGCGAGAGCCUGACGGAGCAACGCCGCGUGAGUGAAGAAGGUCUUCGGAUCGUAAAACUCUGUUAUUAGGGAAGAACAAAUGUGUAAGUAACUAUGCACGUCUUGACGGUACCUAAUCAGAAAGCCACGGCUAACUACGUG
rnacentral:rRNA from 1 species